AGCUCGCUGUAGCCUUUCAGCCGUGUCUGUGUUAAACGGGUGCUGGUGGGUUGACGAGUUCGUCUUGCUGACCUGUCGGCAUGCUUCCGGAUGCCUUUAAACGGGUGUCGGGAGCGGAUGGCAUCUUUACUUCGAACAAAUUUUAGUGCUCAAAGCAGGCCUGUACGCCUGAAAAUUCUUGCAUGGAAUAAUGAAAUAGGAUUUCGGUUCCAUUUUAUUGGUUUUCGGAUCCGAACUAAUGGUUAGGAGAGACGGACAGGGCAUUUGUAUGGCGGUGUUAGAGGUGAAAUUCUGGGAUCGCCGCCAGACAAGCUACAGAGAAAGUAUUUGUCAAGAAUGUUUUCACUGAUCAGGAACGAAGGUCAGAGUUUCGAAGACGAUCAGAUAACGUCGUAUCAGAUUACGCUGUAUUCUUUGUUCUGGGUGCUGCAAGCGCCAAUGUUGUCGUCGAGACUGACAAUGAAAGCUUUACAGUUAAAC
rnacentral:ncRNA from 1 species